AGACCCGAAACCCGGUGAUCUAGCCAUGGGCAGGUUGAAGGUUGGGUAACACUAACUGGAGGACCGAACCGACUAAUGUUGAAAAAUUAGCGGAUGACCUGUGGCUGGGGGUGAAAGGCCAAUCAAACCGGGAGAUAGCUGGUUCUCCCCGAAAGCUAUUUAGGUAGCGCCUCGUGAAUUCAUCUCCGGGGGUAGAGCACUGUUUCGGCUAGGGGGCCAUCCCGGCUUACCAACCCGAUGCAAACUGCGAAUACCGGAGAAUGUUAUCACGGGAGACACACGGCGGGUGCUAACGUCCGUCGUGAAGAGGGAAACAACCCAGACCGCCAGCUAAGGUCCCAAAGUCAUGGUUAAGUGGGAAACGAUGUGGGAAGGCCCAGACAGCCAGGAUGUUGGCUUAGAAGCAGCCAUCAUUUAAAGAAAGCGUAAUAGCUCACUGGUCGAGUCGGCCUGCGCGGAAGAUGUAACGGGGCUAAACCAUGCACCGAAGCUGCGGCAGCGACACUGUGUGUUGUUGGGUAG
rnacentral:rRNA from 2 species